AAGUCGUAACAAGGUUUUCGUAGGUGAACCUGCGGAAGGAUCAUUACCGAAUGAUAUUGUAAUUUUAUAUUACAAUUUUAUUUAUCAAACACAUGUGAACAUUUUAAGAAUUUUGCUUUGGCUAAAUUCCCUUUUAUAUGGGGGGUUUAGCCAAAAGUUUUUAUUGAAACCUUUUAAUUUUUAAACCAUGAUAAAUCUGGAUUUGAAAUAAUUUUUUGAAUUUAAUCAAAACUUUCAACAACGGAUCUCUUGGUUCUC
rnacentral:misc_RNA from 1 species